CAAGAAUAUUAGUCAAUGCUCGCAAGAGUGAACUAGCUAACUGAAAUCACAAAUGUGUCAUUUGUGAUGUCGUAAGGGAAAAUAAUGAUAUUACCUUACUAUUAGUGUCGUCCAAAACUGGUGCCAGAAGACUCGGUAAGGCCAGAGACGCAAACGUUAAUCGUCAUAAUCAGGCGUAAAGGGUUUGUAGGCUGCUUUGAAAAUAUUAAUUUAAAUAUAGCAUUCUUUUUAUUUUAAUUUAAAAUAAAAUAAAAUAAAAUAAAAUUAAAGAAAAUUAAUUUAAUAUCAAUUAAAGCUAGAAUCUAAUAGAGGAUAGUUACGAUAGAAUGCUUAGUGGAGGUCUUACAUCCUAAGAUAUUAAGUGGAAUACUAAGAGCGUAAGCUUUUGUCCAUUAAAGAUUGACGCUGAGAAACGAAGGUGAGGAUAGGAAAUAGGAUUAGAUACCCAGAUACCCCUCUCUGUCAACGAUGAAUGGUAGUUAUUAAGUAAUUUAGUGACGAUGUUAACACGUUAACCAUUCCGCCUUGUAAGUACGACUGCAAAGUUGAAAACAAAAAAAUUAGUCGGUCUCGGAGCAAACGAAGUGAAGUAUGUUAUUUAAUUC
rnacentral:rRNA from 1 species